CAGACUGACGGAAGCGUGGCAGCCAAUCAGCGCCUCCGGCCCCUCCCCCACCACCAACACUCAUUCACAUCCAUACGAACCGGGGUGAGGCUGCGGUGCAUGUCUUUAUGAUUUAUGAUUAACGUUUACUUCAGUGUCGUAAAUACCCAGUUACGAUAGAUGCAGCCUCGCAUACAUUUGUAUUGAUGACCUGACGAAGUCAGAAACCAAGAAAUGAUGUCAACCGAUAAGGGGGCGGCGACUCUGGUUGUAUAGAAGUCUUUAGGGCGGGGCUACAAGGUGAGCAACAGGUCCAGCAGAGCCCUACAAGGCGUCUAAGUUCCUCCUCCUCAGUCCUAAUAUGGUCACUUCCUGUUCACUGUUGAACAACAAAACAAGAUGGCGACGGCCAAAAGAACUAGAGGCCACAAACCAACGAUGACGUCAUCACACUGAAGACCAACAGGCAGGUAGCAUGAAGCAGAAUAUAUAUAUAUACAUAUAUAUAUAGAUAUUAUAGUUUAUAUUCAUCGGUGUUCAUCACUUUAAUGUUGCUAUAAAGUUGAUCUCGUUUUAUAUUAAUCUUUAUUUCCUGAGGUGUCCUGGAGUCGAAGGUGUCGCUCGUCUUCCCUCCCCAGGUGCAUGCUGGGAGCCGCUCCACAAAGAAGAGGGACUCACCUGGAGACCCGGGGACGGGUGCAGCUGGUCUGGAGCCCCCCAGAGCAUCCGGUCCUCAUGAGGCGCCUACAGCCCCCGAUCAGCAUCCAGGUCCGGAUCAGGUCUUCGCGGUUCUGGAUCUGGUCCCCACAAAACCCCUCGGGACUCUCGUGGAAGGGGGAUGACCCGAAGACCCCCAAAGACCCGGUCUGGGUUCAGAGGACGAGCCGAGCGUCAAUCUAACCGACGCUGCAACACGAGGCUUCACAGAGUCCUCCGACCAAUCAGGAGCCGGCACAAAACCACCUCCGCAUCCUCAGGAAACCACAGCGCUGCUCCUGCACCUCCUCCUGCACGGCCUCGUUUCUCCUUCUGAGACCAGAGAACCCCCCAAUGAGGAGGAGGGGGGGGGGGGGCUGGUCUUUCCCUCCAAUGAGCUUCUUGUGCAGGUUACGGUGAUGUCAUCAUCUCAAUAAACGACUGAUCAGACACGG